rnacentral:misc_RNA from 1 species
CUUUUUCAACCAUGGGUCUUCAGUCGAAGCCCUUGCUAAUUGAUGCCCGAGGGCAUUUAUUAGGGAGACUGGCUUCAAUUGUAGCCAAAACGGUUUUACAAGGACAGAGAGUUAUUGUGGUAAGAUGUGAAGGAAUCAACAUCUCCGGAAAUUUCUACAGAAACAAACUGAAGGUCCUGAAAUACCUGAGACUGAGAUGUAACGUUAAACCCUCCUCCUUAUGACAAACAGAAGAGGAUGGUGGUACCCUCUGCCCUGAGGGCUAACAGACUCAACCCCUCAAGAAAGUACUGCGACCUGAACAGACUGUCACAUGAAGUGGGCUGGAAGUACCAGAAGGUCAUCUCCACCCUGGAAACCAGGAGGAAGGUCAAGUCAAAGAAUCACUUCGAAAGGAAAAAGUUCUUACUGGCUCUGAGAGAAAAGGCCAAGCAGAACGCCGCUAAAAAGAUCGCUCCCCACCAGAAGGUGAUCGAGAGUUACGGAUUUCAUUAAGCUAAUAAAGACGAAGUGAGACUGGGU